CCACAAAAAUAGCUUUGCUCUGUUGCCCUGCUGCUCCUUCGUUCUCCCUCCCUCCUCUCAAGCGUGCAUGCGGCCGCGCGUGCCAGGCCUUCCCCCUCCUCCUUCCCCCUUCUACAUGCCGUGUUGCAUAGUGCUGCAAUCGGGGACAACCUGAGCUACCAUGGGUUGGUCGCCAGAGUGUUGUGAUGGUGGAGACAACGUGGUCGGUGGGUGCUGCAACUGCGACACCCAGGUGCUGGAACCGCGACGUCCGGUUGCUGGAAUCGCGUUUGACGGUCGCUACGAUGGUCAUGCGGAGUCGGCAACGGGAGCUGGAACCAGCAGAUGUUUUUGCUUCUACCGGCCAAGGAAGAACUGGGACCAGCCGCUGGUUUUGCUCCAACCGACCGAAGCCGGGAGCUGGAACCGGCAAUUUAAUUAUUUUGCUGCAACCGGCCGGCGGCGGAGCUGGAACCAGCAACUGUUUUUGCUGGGAACCAAUUGGUGGUUCUACGGCGAAGACAGGGGCGGAAUUCUGGUUUGUUGCAACCGACGCCUCGGAAAGCUUCCACCGGUAAGUUUUUUGCUUCCAUGGUGACGGAUGGAAGUGACGACCAGGGAGACGACAGCGACACAAGCUGCAUGCACAGCGGCGAGCGUAGUCGGUGAGGGUGGUCGGCGGCAUACCUGGUGCUGCAACCACGAGGAGGCGAGCUGCAACCGCUACCGGCCGGUGCUACGAUGUCGUGAUGUCGGAGCGGCGACCCGUCAUGGCCAGGAGCUGCAGAAAACAAAGCGGCCGGUGAUGAGGGAUGCGAACGGCGGUGACGAGGUUGCAAGCACAGCGCCAACGAUGAGACCUCGCACGUUCAUGACUGGGUGCGGGAAGGCCCGUGGCGCUCGCUGUCGCUCUUGUCUCCUGUGUGCGGUUGCGUGAUUAGGGGAAGACGACGACAUGGAAUAGAAAAAAAGAUAGAAUCUGACGGUUGGAAGAGUAACGCAUCGUACGCUGAUCGAACGGGUGCGCGGCGACUGGCCCAAAUUUUGGCGGGUCGACCGGUGCCUAUCAUUGCCCUAAAAAAAACCAACUGUGUCAGUCCGUCCCUUACCUCCCCUACCCCAAUCCAAAAAUCCCCACGGCAGCGCAGCUCCACCCCAACCCACCUCCAGCCCCCGGCUCCGGCGAGCCUCCCGCCGACGACCCACUACCGCGCUGACCCUCGCGCCGCCCCACCCGACACCCCGCCCCCAUCUCCCCUGGCUUUGGCCGCUGCCCCGCCCCCAUCGCCCCCAACUCCGGUCGCCGCACCGCCCCAUCGCCCCUGAAUCCCGCCACCACCCCACCUUCAUCUCCUCCCCGGAAGCUCCCGCUGCGCACACCCACCUGCGUUCCCCCGGAGCGGACGCCACAUUAGUCGCCUACUUGCCCCGGCUCACUCUGCCUGCCUCCUAUUCCAGAAAAAUUGGGGGCCAUCGGCGGGGAUCCAAGCUUUUCUCGGCUCCACCCAGUGCCUCCCCACUCUGGCACGAUCCCCCCCAGGUGGAGCUCCCGCACCUACCUUCUUCCUCAUCCCGGUUCCCACACCUCCGCCUCCUCCCGAUUGCCCUGACGGGGACACAAUGCCAUCCCAGUCGAGCCCCGCAUCGUCAGGGAGGUUGGGGCCAUCGCGAGUAGCAGUCCAGAGCAGUCAAGGUGAGGGUGAGCACAGCACUUCCAUCCCAUCCAUGUUAAGCACGUUUGUGGAUUUUCUACAGGUAGCACGUUUGUGGUUUUGGGUAGUAACAAUGUUCAGGCCCGCGUACAUUGCCGCCGCUCACCUCCCCACGACCUGCAUACAGAGUUCUAACUUGUUGCAAAAGUUCAAAAAGAAGAAUAUAUGCAGUCCAACUUAUUCUAGCAUAAUGCUUCUCCUUCGAAUCUAGAUGCUACAACAGUCCUCCUUUGUGAAGAUGAACUGAAUGUUGCUGUUUUGAUGUUCUACAGAAAGUGUACUGAAUUUUGCAGUUUUAUCUUUUUUACACGCACUACUCCUUGAGCUGGCAGCCGCGAGACCCUGUGCCUCCACGGGCCUCAUCUCCCGCUAUCGGCAACAGCACUCCCUUCCUCCAGCGCGUCGCCGACGAGGCCAACCGCCUACACGGCUACACCGUCUUUGGCUGCAACGAUGUCGUCUCAACGAGGCCAACCGCCUACACCGGCUUCGGCUGCAACGACGUCGUCUCUCUCCGUCAGCCUUCUCGCCUCCUCUCAGCUAGCAAGGGAAACAGUGGAGUAGCUUGUUGCUUGCAAAGGGAUAAGUGGAAGGUGAAGAACCGAAGAAACUGCAGGGACAAAAGUUGGAGGUCUGCUCAACAUUUUUGUUACGGAUGCCUCUUUAGUCUUUACAGUUUCAGUCAUCCACCGGCCUCCUCCUCACGCUCGUCACCUCCUCAGCGCUGGAGUGAAGGUCGGAUCCUCUGCACUCUGCAGUUCGGUUUCUACUGAUGUUGUAGCUCCUAAAUCCGUCGUGGACACCCCUGUGACACCCCGUGCGUGGCCGGUGGAGCUCAGCCGCUCCACUGCUUCCCCUUCCCAUGCAUCACGAAUCAGGGCGUGACCAUAACAUGCUAGCAAUUUUAUGCUUUGGCUGCCAGUAAUGUGUUUGUGCUAAUGUCUAGUAGGAACUCUAGGUGUACUGAUAAAAGGGAACCAAACCAUCAUAUAAGGGAAAAAGCAGCAUCUCUCUAUCUUUGAUCUCUCUAUGAUACAUAUAUGGACGUAUAUGCAAUUAGCAAAAUUCCUCUUUUAUAUUGCUUAUUCACUAAUCAUUCAUGCUUCGUGUCCUAAAAGAAGUACAGUGUGCUCUGUUUGAAAAAGCAUGUGGUCAGCAUUAUAUGGAUCUGAAGGUUUAACAAACAAAACAUUCAGAUUUCUCUUUAUUCGUAUAAAGGUUGGAGUGAGGUAGCGCUUAUUUCCUAUAUAGCUGCUCAUUUUGGAUGCAGUUUUAACAAUCAGGCUAGGGCGGCGGUGAGCGUGGGUAGGCCGGCCAAACCUUCCCUGUACUGGGUCAACCGGCAGCGUCGCCCACCACCGUACUGUCCUACAGCAACGGCCCCAACCUGAGCAGGCGUGCUUUCUGCGACAUGCUCCUGCACAUGGAUGUCUUGGUGAGGUGCGGUCGUCGGAGUCCUUUAAGCGCUUGCACUAGUGCUUCUAACUUGUCCAUAAAGGCACUGCAUGGUGUGUCAUGUCCUGUCUGCCGCCGCAGCUGCCCUGUGUCCUCGCGAACUCUGCGGCCAGUCACCAACGCCCUAUGAGUGCGCCCUGAGUGUGGCAUGGGGAACAUGCUAAUGUGUGUGUUUGUGCACUGGUGUGUGCGUGCAUGCUUGCGUUUAUGCGUGCACUGGGUGUGCUGCUUGUGUGUUGUGAUGUAUGUUGUAUAGAUUUUUAUGAAGUUCAUGUUGUGAACCCAACUAAGUUAGAACACAAACGUUUAGAUCGCAACUGCUUUGAAUUUGCUCCGGUAGCAGAAAUCUUGUUUCCGUGCUGUUGUACUAUGUGCACUUAUGUAGUGUUUCUAAAUAACUUCUUGUCUGAAGUUCAGUCGCACAUGUGGGUGCAAGAAA